GAUGAACGCUGGCGGCGUGCCUAAUACAUGCAAGUCGAGCGAACGGACGAGAAGCUUGCUUUUCUGAUGUUAUCGGCGGACGGGUGAGUAUCACGUGGAUAACAUACCUCUAAGACUGGGGUACCUUUGGGAAACCGGAUCUUCUACCCGAUAAUAUUUUGCACCGCAUUGUGCACGAGUGAAAGAAGGUCUUUCGGUCGCUUAUAGAUUGAUACGGGUUGCAUUCGUUAGUUGGUAGGGUAACGGCUUACCAAGGCAACGAGGCUUAACCGACCUGAACGGGUGGUCGGCCACACGGGAAGUGAGACACGGUCGAGACACCUACGGGAGGCAGCAGUAGGGAAUCUUCCGCAAUGGGCGAAUGCCUGACGGAGCAACGCCGCGUGAAGGAUGAUCGUGCAAGGAUCGGAAAGCGCUGUAAGUAGUAGAGAAGAAAAGCUCAAGUAACCGUGAAGAUAUUGACGGUACCGAAACAAAAAGCCACGGCUAACUACGUG
rnacentral:rRNA from 1 species